rnacentral:lncRNA from 1 species
CUAGCCUACUCCUAAUACAGUUUAGACUAGACUUCUAAUACAGUUAGACUUCUAACAAGAAUCAGUUUGCAGACAGCUUGGCAUGCGUGAAGCCUAUCUAACACUUCUUAUGCUUGAAGACUUAUUGAUCUCCUUUGACCGGAGGAGAAGUUUGUUGGGCCCACGCCCACUUUUCCAACCAAGUGGCCUAAUUGCCAUUCUCAAAUUUCUUUUUGGUUUGGUUUGGUUUAAAUUCCGUUUUGUUAGAUAGUUAUGUGUGAAUAGUCCUAGUCCCAUAUGUAGUAGGAGUAGAAUAUGUCCUAGUCCCAUACGCAGUAGGAGUAGAAUAUGUCCUAAUUUCAUAUGUAGUAGGAGUACAAAAUAUAUUAUAUAUAGGGCUCAUUGUAUCAUUGUUAAUAAAUAGAUUUUUCUCCCGUGUAUUCUCACAUGGUAUCAAAGCUUUAGUGAGAAAAUUAUCACUGUGCAUCAUUCCAGCGACAUCUGGGAAGAAAGAUCUCGUCGCCGUGCAAUUUUUCAACAACUUCUUUUUGUUCCCAGGGUUCAUCACUACUACAGUGGUGCUGUAAAUAUACCAAUACCACCAUCAAAUCCGAAACCCUUGGGCAACCAAACCCCAUAAAUUCCCCAUCUAAACAGAAAAGUCAGUCACUGCACUUCUUUCCGGUUGACGAUUCAAGUUUGAUUUGCGUUAUCUCCUAUUAUGCGAAAACCAACACUACCUUCUAGUUCGGAAAAAUCGGGCGACAAAACCCAGUCAAUUGCUCUUGGCAGAAAGUCAUGCGUCUCCAUGCUUUGCUAGAACUAGGGUUCCGGCGAGCUACAGUAACUUUUCCAGCAUGUGAGCCAUUCCGGCCACUUUUUGACAAAAUUUCUUCAAGAAAACUUACUCGUCCAGUGAUUCGAGCCUACCCAUAUAAAUUACAUCAGAUUUUGACAACUUUAUUUUUUCCGGCGUGGACAGUGAUUUCCAAAAAAGUUUUCUGGUGGUAUUUUAGAACCUAUUUUAGAGUGUAGAAUUCGGCUUGGUCUCAACAACAACAACAACCCAGUAUAAUCCCACUUAGUGAGGUCUGGGGAGGGUAGUAUGUACGN